AACUCCAGUGUCCUUGUGUAUAAAACGAGGAUCAGAAAUCCACCCUCUGUGACAAUGGUGCGGUUGGGAUCACAGGAGUUCAAUAAGUGGCAAUUACCUGCUGUCACAAUAAUUAUUCUUAAUGUUUUCGGAGUUGAGGUGGAUGGCCAGGAAGGGAUUCCAAGAAGAGAGCUUCAGACGGACUCACGGUGUUCGUGUUGGGGAUGGUCUAACCCAACCACUGCAUUUUACAGAUGGGGAAACUGAGGCCCCACAGGUGGCCGAGCUUGGGUUGGUUACAUGAGGCUGAGCUGAGGAGCUGCAAAGAGGAGAACCUUUUAGGAGGUUGUGUCUGGAGCCAGUUAGCCCGGCCACGAGCUUUCAGAAAUUACAAGGCCACAAAAAUGCUUUUUGGCUGGAAGUAUCCAGAUGGGCCCCACCCAUCUUGCUUGGAGUCAGAGGCCUCCUUCUUCUCACCACCGGGCCCUGAGUUCCCAGGCUGCUACAGUGUUUUCCGCGAAGGACAGUGUUUGUGGCCACCCUGCCUCGAGCAAGUCUGCUCCCACCGCUCGCUCCGCGUCUCCGCGUCAGUCACAGAUACCGUCCCGCUGGGAAGAAACAGACUAAUACAGAGUGAACUGAACCCAGGGAUUGUGUUUCGAGGUGCCUCGUGAGGCUGACUUAACUUCUGUGUGCAGCUGAGACAUUGACUUUUUCCCUCCUCGUCAAAUUAUUAAUUAGUUGCCAUAUUGACUAAUUUCUAAGCACUCAGUCAAAUUGGGUAACCAAUCCAAUCCGGACGGGAGAACAGCAAAAAGCUUUA